rnacentral:tRNA from 1 species
CUCCAGCGGUGGUGGAGUCGGACUACCAAGCAAAAUCGGUGGCAUGACUCGCUCCUCAGGAGGUUCAAAUCCUUCU